GCUCAGCCUGCUGUUGCCCCUUGGCUCAAAGGUGGCCAUCAAAUGCGUGCCGCGGGAUUGCAUCCAUCGCUGGGGCGAGCUGCCCAGUGGCACCCGUGCGCCUCUGGAGAUCGUGCUGCUGGACAAGGUGUCCACUGGGUUCCGUGGAGUGAUUCAGCUCCUGGAGUGAUUUGAGCUCCCCAGCUGCUUCUUGUUGGUGCUGGAGCGUCCAGAGCGACGUCAAGACCUCUUUGAUUCCAUCGUGGCUCGGGGGUUCCUGCCAGAGGAGGAGGAAGCGCGGGGGCUGUUCCGUCAGGUGCUGGAGGCCGUGCAGCACUGCAGCAACUGUGGGGUCCUGCACAGGGACAUCAAACCUGGCAACAUCCUCAUCGACCUGGCCACAGGGCAGGUCAAACUGAUUGACUUUGGCUGUGGCACCUUCCUCCAGGACACAGUCUACACCCAAUUCGCAGGAACACCAUCCUACAGCCCCCAGAAUGGACCCACCUCAAAUGCUACCACGGCGAGGCAGCAACGAUCUGGUCCCUGGGUAUCCUGCUGUACCAGAUGGUCUGCGGGAAGCACCUGUUCAAGAGGGGCCAGGACAUCAUCUGGGGCCAGCUCGAGUUCCCACAACGGCUCUCUCAAGAGUGCCAAGAUGUCAUCAGUUGGUGUUUAUCCAUGCGCUCCUUGGACAGGCCAUCCGUGGAAGAUCUAUUCUAUGACCCUUGGCUGCAGGAUGUUGAUCUGCCCGAGAAAAUGGGAGAGAUUCACAGGCACUGUUUGAUCCAGGAGCCUGGAUCAAACAGCUCCACACAUCUCUUGGUGAUAAGAAGCAAAGUCCUGCCUGUACCAUGGAGCAGGGGUCAUCAGAUGGGAACAUCUGUUCUGGAGCUGAGCUGGUCUUGGAAGGAGAAACAGCCCCUGGAGAAGCUGGACCAGGUGGGGCUGCUGCAAGGACAAGCCCAAGGAUGACAACCUCUUCCUUGACCUGGCCACUGGCAGCUGGAGAUGAUCAACUUUGAUUCUGGCACCUUCUUCAAAGACAUGAUCCACACCCAAUUUGCAGCCGGGCUCUGCGGAUGCUGAGGCAGCUCUGGGCUUUGCCAGGGCUUUGCUGGGCUCAGCCCUGGGCACAGCUGGGCCUGCUCUGCCCUCACAUGGCUCUGACAGCUUUGCAUCAGACGAGUCCGUUCUGAGCACACCGCCUGAGCUUUCUGCUUUUGCAGGUGAGUGAGACUCUCCUGCAGGCCAAGACGUUGCAGUUAGGGACACACACCCAAUUGGCAAGAACCCAAAUUCUCCACAGUCCCAACUGAACGCCUGGAUCUCCACAGGAUGUUUUGUGUCCCCCACUCUUCAUUCCUUUCUGGCUGGAAUGGUGCAGUUGCACUUUCUUCCUCCUCUAGAAGGGCCAAGAGUGGGCAAAACCUGGCGAGUGGGCCGUGUU